AUUGAACGCUGGCGGCAGGCCUAACACAUGCAAGUCGAGCGAGCGGCGGACGGGUGAGUGAUGUAUGGGGACUGCCCGAUAGAGGGGGAUAACUACUGGAAACGGUGGCUAUUACCGCACACUGUCGGAUAACCCAUAUGGGAUUAGCUAGUAGGUAAGGUAAUGGCUUACCUAGGCGACGAUCCCUCGCUGGUCUGAGAGGAUGAUCAGCCACACUGGGACUGAGACACGGCCCAGACUCCUACGGAGGCAGCAGUGGGGAAUAUUGCACAAUGGGCGCAAGCCUGAUGCAGCCAUGCCGCGUGUAUGAAGAAGGCCCUAGGGUUGUAAAGUACUUUCAGUCGGGAGGCGUUACCGGCAGAAGAAGCACCGGCUAACUCCGUGCCAGCAGCCGCGGUAAUUC
rnacentral:rRNA from 1 species